rnacentral:rRNA from 1 species
GACGAACGCUGGCGGCGCGCCUAACACAUGCAAGUCGAACGAGCGAGAGAGAGCUUGCUUUCUUGAGCGAGUGGCGAACGGGUGAGUAACGCGUGAGGAACCUGCCUCAAAGAGGGGGACAACAGUUGGAGACGACUGCUAAUACCGCAUAAGCCCACGGUGCCGCAUGGCACAGAGGGAAAAGGAGCAAUCCGCUUUGAGAUGGCCUCGCGUCCGAUUAGCUAGUUGGUGAGGUAACGGCCCACCAAGGCGACGAUCGGUAGCCGGACUGAGAGGUUGAACGGCCACAUUGGGACUGAGACACGGCCCAGACUCCUACGGGAGGCAGCAGUGGGGAAUAUUGCACAAUGGGGGAAACCCUGAUGCAGCGACGCCGCGUGGAGGAAGAAGGUCUUCGGAUUGUAAACUCCUGUUGUUGGGGAAGAUAAUGACGGUACCCAACAAGGAAGUGACGGCUAACUACGUG